rnacentral:rRNA from 1 species
GACGAACGCUGGCGGCGUGCUUGACACAUGCAAGUCGAACGGUAAGGCCCUUCGGGGUACACGAGUGGCGAACGGGUGAGUAACACGUGGGUGAUCUGCCCUGCACUUCGGGAUAAGCCUGGGAAACUGGGUCUAAUACCGGAUAGGACUCCGGACUGCAUGGUCUGGGGUGGAAAGCUUUUGCGGUGUGGGACGGGUCCGCGGCCUAUCGGCGUGUUGGUGGGGUGGUGGCGUACCAAGGCGACGAUGGGUCGCCGGCCUGGGAGGGUGACCGGCCAAACGGGGACUGAGAUACGACCCAGACUCCUGCGGGAGGCAGCAGUGGGGAAUAUUGCACAAUGGGCGCAAGCCUGAUGCAGCGACGCCGCGUGAGGGAUGACGGCCUUCGGGUUGUAAACCUCUUUCAGCAUCGACGAAGCGAAAGUGACGGUAGGUGCAGAAGAAGGACCGGCCAACUACGUGCCAGCCGCCGCCGUAA